UAUACCCGUCACCACAAUACGAUGGUUGGCAGUCUACAAAACGGAAGGUAGUCUAAAAGUACAUACCCUUCUCCCGCGUCGACCUCGUAACCCUUGGGACCCCUUCGGACCGAUGGGACCUUCAGCGCCUUGGAUUCCAGGCACAAAAGGAGCAUUUACCUUGGUUACUUGACGUC